CUUGUGUGACAGGCACUUUACAGAUUGAGCCAUCUCUUCAGCCUGCCUUUGGAAUGAACGAUGAGAUCUCUGUUUGUCAGUGUUGGUUCGGCACUCCUGGGUUCAAGUGGACAUCUUGCCUUAGCAUCCCAGCUACCUGCAGAUCUGGACAUAGAACUCUCAUCUACCUCUUCAGCACAUCUGCCUGCACAGCACCAUGCUUCCUGCCCUGAUGACUAUGGACUAAACCUCUGAACUAUGCCCAUCGCAUCUACAAUCAAAACCUUCCUGUGAACCAUAUGUUGAAGCACCCAUGCCCUCACUUUAUAUAAAGACAGCCUCACCAAGUAGACUAGAUCGACUGUGCAGUGAGCCCCAGGGAUCUGCCUGUCUCUACCUCUCUAGUGAUGGGAUGGUUGGUGUUGGAUACUCUCAUCUUGGCUGGCCUCAAGCCACUGCUUACAAAGUCAUUCAGGAGGACUUGGGACCUAGCCUCUGGUGUCUCUGGAAACCAUGGCUUCAAUAAUCAUACUGAUUUUCUAAAAAUAAAUAGACAAGUUAAAAAUGCUUCCAA
rnacentral:lncRNA from 1 species